AUUUAAAUAGCUUAUAAAGAGUAUAACAUUGAAGCUGUUAAGGAGAUAAUUUUAUCUUUAAAUA
rnacentral:tRNA from 1 species